CCUACGGGAGGCAGCAGUGGGGAAUAUUGGACAAUGGGCGAAAGCCUGAUCCAGCCAUGCCGCGUGUGUGAAGAAGGCCUUCGGGUUGUAAAGCACUUUCAGUGGGGAAGAAAGCCUUGGGGCUAAUACCCUCGAGGAAGGACAUCACCCACAGAAGAAGCACCGGCUAACUCCGUGCCAGCAGCCGCGGUAAUACGGAGGGUGCGAGCGUUAAUCGGAAUUACUGGGCGUAAAGCGCGCGUAGGCGGUCUGAUAAGCCGGUUGUGAAAGCCCCGGGCUCAACCUGGGAACGGCAUCCGGAACUGUCAGGCUAGAGUGCAGGAGAGGAAGGUAGAAUUCCCGGUGUAGCGGUGAAACGCGUAGAGAUCGGGAGGAAUACCAGUGGCGAAGGCGGCCUUCUGGACUGACACUGACGCUGAGGUGCGAAAGCGUGGGUAGCAAACAGGAUUAGAUACCCCUGUAGUC
rnacentral:rRNA from 1 species